rnacentral:misc_RNA from 1 species
GUGAAAAUUCCCAAAUAUAUCAGACCCGGAAACAGAUGACAUGUCGGCAUGAUGAUACGCCGACAGUCGUCCGCCACCAUCGCCGCCGCUGGAGCAAGGGAAAAACAUCUGAUAAUUCUCCAUCAAGAGAAGAGAUAAAAAAUUUUAAUGAUGAAGAAUUUUGCUUCCGGACGAUCAGAAGAUAGGAGUUUGUGUAAUCUAAUCUGUGUUUAAU